GUGCUCGCUUCAGCAACACAUAUGCUAAAAUUGGAACAAUACAGAGAAGAUUAGCAUGGUCCAUGCACAAGGAUGACCCAAAAUUCCUGAAACAUUCCAUAUUUUU
ensembl:snRNA U6 U6 spliceosomal RNA